AAAAACAUGGAGCAUUGGAUCUGGACUCAUUAAUUAACAUGGCAGAUCCAACAAUCCUUAGGCUGGGAAGCACGAUGGAAUUUAGCCAGAAUAAAACCGGGAUCUAAUUCAAAUUGGACCAAUCAAACCAUUCCAAUUAUCCAACGUGUCUCCAAACUCAGAUGACCUGAGAUAAACUUUGGUCGUCUUCUUUGAUGGUCUCUCAUAGGAUUUUCAUCGUUUGGUAAAUUUAGAACACGAGACCAUCACCAAUGUGACCGCCUCCUCA
rnacentral:lncRNA from 1 species